CUGAAAAGGAUGAAAGAGAACGAAAAAAAUCUCCUCCCCUUACCGUGGUUCCUUCUAGAGGCCCCUCGCCGCCGUCGAAACCCAAAAGGGGAUAGAGUUCGCCGAGGCCGCUUUAGCCGGUGGCGGCGCCAUCGCGGGUGCUCCACCGUGAAGCUAGUGACGGAUGGACGCUGAGGGAAUGGAGUUCCUACUGGAUGCGGUCGACAGGUUCCCCGUGCGGGAGGAGUUUGCUGACAGUCUUCACAACCCAGAUCCAGUCCCACUCGCGUACCUUCUGGAGAAGGGGGGUUGCAAAUCCGUAGAUUGGUUGGGAAGAAGAUCAUUCUGGGAUGGCUGAAAUGGUGUGCGAAGGUGUGCUUACUGACGCUCAAGGUGGUGCCCAGCAUCGGCGUGAUGAAUCUCUGACGAGGUCUGGCCAAUCGACGGGCAGGGUUAAUCCAGAGGCCUCAGGCUGGACUAAAAGGCUUCAUCUUGGAAGUGCGCCACCUGACCAUGUGCCAUGUCCAUUAAGAAUGAGUGCUCUCGAGCUGUCGAUCAGGAAAUAUGCUGAGCAACCUGACAAGAGCGUGGUGCGACCUGAGUUAGGGCUUAGUUUCGAUUCGCUGGGAGAAGCGUAUGAUUUCUACAACUUAUAUUCAUGGGAAGUCGGUUUUGGGAUAAGAUAUGGGAAAAGCAGGCUGAACGCCAAGAGAACAAAAAGCAUGCAGGAGAUAGUAUGUGGUUGCUCGGUGAGUGUCCGUUCGCUUGCAUAUAAAUUAAGAAGUACGAGUGUACUGAUUGGUGGUGCAGGCUGAACGCCAAGAGAACAAAAAGCAUGCAGGAGAUAAUAUGUGGUUGCUCGGGGAAACCGGAUGCCGAAAACAGUAGGUCUUGCAUGUGUGAAUGUCCAGCUCCGAUCAGGCUCCUACGUGCAUCAGACAACAGUUGGUACAUCAUAGAGCACCGAGCAAGCCACAAUCAUUCCAUGUCGCUAACAAUGGGUGAGAAAGUUCACUGGCCGUCUCAUAAACACAUAGACGUGUACACCAAAGAUUUGAUAAGACAGCUGAGGGAGAACAACGUGAAUCUGGGCAAGGUAUACAGCAUAUUGGAAGCUUUUUUGGUUCAGUUGAGAAGGUGUCGUUCACGAAAAGGACACUAAGGAACAUUUGUGGGAAGAUUAGUCGUGAACAAGCUGAGGACGAUGUACGAAAGACACUCCAGGUGUUUGCUGACAUCUGAUCAAGCGACCCUGGUUUCUCUUUUGUAGUUCUUGCCAAAAAAGACAGCAAGGUGAAGAAUCUAAUGUGGGCUAAUGGAAACAGCUGUAUGCAGUACAAGUUCUUUGGCGAUGUGGUGACAUUCGACACCACAUACAGGACAAACUUGUAUGACAUGCCGUUUGGUUUGUUUGUUGGAGUUAACAAUCACUACCAGAGUAUCAUCCUGGCAAACGUGUUGAUGCGUGGCGAGCAGGAAGAGAGCUUCGAAUGGGUGUUCUCAGAAUUCCUUCGCAUGAUGGGCGGGCCUCCUCCAAAAACAAUACUGACAGACCAAUGUAGGGCCACAUGGAGGUUGCAAUCAAGAAAAUCUAUCCAGAGACUGUGCACCAUUGGUGCAAGUGGCAUGUUCUGAAGAAAGCGAAAGAAACACUAGGGCCAUUGUACACAAAAAAAAUAUAUCGAGCCAUCUAUUCUAUAUCUGUCCCCGGACGACGUUAGCUCAGA